GCAUAGCAUAUAUUUGUUAUGCUACAUUAAAAGAGUACUAGUGGUUUUGUGUUGAAGUGUUUAAUGUAUAUUGUCGGUCAGUAAGUCAGAGCACUUUGUUCCAGUUAUAGCUCCAGAAGUCAGUCACCAGCAGCAGAUGUCACACAGUUAUAAAAUGGGAAACUUGAAGAAUAAGCUCCAGAAGUCAGCAGCAGCAGCAGACGUCACACAGCCAUAAUGCGAGAAGCUUGAAGAAUAAUGUGUUAUGGCUCCGAUAGUCUUCCAGCAGCAGCAAAUGUUACACAGUCCUAUAGAGGCAAACUUGAAGUAUAAAGUAAUAGUGUUUUGCAUACAAUGGCAAACUUGACCUUUCGCUUAAAAUGGAGUAUCGGCUUUGAAAUUUGGUCACUGGAUACAACUAUAUUAUCUUUCAUGUUGAUAGCAGCAAUCAUCAGAUUGCAAUCCAGUUAAGUACCUGUGAGGCAUGAGAUGUCAAAAAUACUUGUGGGUUAUUGGUAGCCUGUGUCAAGGCAUGUGGCACCUCAAAGUUUGUAAGUACAGUAGCAUUUUGUUUUCUGCUUUACUUAAAAAUUGGUAGCUGUAGCACCCAUUCUGACAUUCAAUUAUUUUGAAUUUCAAGUUUCUUAGAAUGAUACUGACAUCAGUUUGUUAACACUAAUCCGUAUAUUAUUGUUAAUAUAUGCUGCUAUUUUCCUCAGAUGUUAACUGAAAUUGUUUUAUUGUUAUAAUAACAACACUUCAGCCUUUGCAAACUUGCAGUAUAGGUUACCUGCUGAGAAAUAUUUACUGGAAGAAAUGGUUUCUUGAAUAGGACCGAAAGGAAAACCACUGAAAAUGCCAAACGUGAAUUGGUGAAACAUCUUGUGCUCAAUACUAAAUUUCAUUUGCAAAACACGGAAGUUUUCCUAUCUUUGUGGUGGAACACAACAAAUUCUCAUAAUUUUGCUAGUUUGUAUUCUAGAAAGGGUGCCAGAAAUGGAAGAGUAUAAUUUUUAUUA